rnacentral:rRNA from 1 species
GGAGGGAUCAUUACCGAGUUUACAACUCCCAAACCCCUGUGAACAUACCACUUGUUGCCUCGGCGGAUCAGCCCGCUCCCGGUAAAACGGGACGGCCCGCCAGAGGACCCCUAAACUCUGUUUCUAUAUGUAACUUCUGAGUAAAACCAUAAAUAAAUCAAAACUUUCAACAACGGAUCUCUUGGUUCUGGCAUCGAUGAAGAACGCAGCAAAAUGCGAUAAGUAAUGUGAAUUGCAGAAUUCAGUGAAUCAUCGAAUCUUUGAACGCACAUUGCGCCCGCCAGUAUUCUGGCGGGCAUGCCUGUUCGAGCGUCAUUUCAACCCUCAAGCACAGCUUGGUGUUGGGACUCGCGUUAAUUCGCGUUCCCCAAAUUGAUUGGCGGUCACGUCGAGCUUCCAUAGCGUAGUAGUAAAACCCUCGUUACUGGUAAUCGUCGCGGCCACGCCGUUAAACCCCAACUUCUGAAUGUUGACCUCGGAUCAGGUAGGAAUACCCGCUGAACUUAAGCAUAUCAAUAAGCGGAGGAAAAGAAACCAACAGGGAUUGCCCUAGUAACGGCGAGUGAAGCGGCAACAGCUCAAAUUUGAAAUCUGGCUCUCGGGCCCGAGUUGUAAUUUGUAGAGGAUACUUUUGAUGCGGUGCCUUCCGAGUUCCCUGGAACGGGACGCCAUAGAGGGUGAGAGCCCCGUCUGGUUGGAUGCCAAAUCUCUGUAAAGUUCCUUCAACGAGUCGAGUAGUUUGGGAAUGCUGCUCUAAA